CACGUAGGGUGCAAGCGUUGUCCGGAAUCAUUGGGCGUAAAGAGCUCGUAGGCGGCUUAGUAAGUCGGGUGUGAAAACCCCAGGCUCAACCUGGGGACGCCACCCGAUACUGCUAUAGCUAGAGUCCAGUAGGGGAGUGUGGAAUUCCCAGUGUAGCGGUGAAAUGCGCAGAUAUCUGGAGGAACACCGGUGGCGAAGGCGGGUCUCUGGACAGUUCCUGACGCUGAGGCACGAAGGUCAGGGGAGCAAACGGGG
rnacentral:rRNA from 1 species